rnacentral:piRNA from 1 species
UUCGAAUGGAGGUGCUCUCUUCAAGUGCAU